rnacentral:rRNA from 1 species
CCUACGGGAGGCAGCAGUGGGGAAUCUUGCGCAAUGGGCGAAAGCCUGACGCAGCCAUGCCGCGUGAAUGAUGAAGGUCUUAGGAUUGUAAAAUUCUUUCACCGAGGACGAUAAUGACGGUACUCGGAGAAGAAGCCCCGGCUAACUUCGUGCCAGCAGCCGCGGUAAUACGAAGGGGGCUAGCGUUGCUCGGAAUUACUGGGCGUAAAGGGAGCGUAGGCGGAUAGUUUAGUCAGAGGUGAAAGCCCAGGGCUCAACCUUGGAAUUGCCUUUGAUACUGGCUAUCUUGAGUACGGAAGAGGUAUGUGGAACUCCGAGUGUAGAGGUGAAAUUCGUAGAUAUUCGGAAGAACACCAGUGGCGAAGGCGACAUACUGGUCCGUUACUGACGCUGAGGCUCGAAAGCGUGGGGAGCAAACAGGAUUAGAUACCCUGGUAGUCCACGCUGUAAACGAUGAGCGCUAGUUGUCGGCAUGCAUGCAUGUCGGUGACGCAGCUAACGCAUUAAGCACUCCGCCGUCGGGAGGUACGGUCGCGAAGAAGUUAAAACUAACAAAGUAAGUAAGUAGACGCGAGAGAGCGACGACGACGACGACGAGGAGGAGG